rnacentral:rRNA from 1 species
CAUGCCGUAAACGAUGAGUGCUAAGUGUUAGGGGGUUUCCGCCCCUUAGUGCUGCAGCUAACGCAUUAAGCACUCCGCCUGGGGAGUACGACCGCAAGGUUGAAACUCAAAGGAAUUGACGGGGGCCCACACAAGCGGUGGAGCAUGUGGUUUAAUUCGAAGCAACGCGAAGAACCUUACCAGGUCUUGACAUCCCGAUGAUCGCUCUAGAGAUAGAGUUUUCCCUUCGGGGACAUUGGUGACAGGUGG